CAAGCAGGACAAAAAUCUUGCGCCGCAGGAGAUCGCAAGGACCACCACACCACCGCAUUGUCUUACAUGCUCCAGAUAUGUGAAUCUACUCUCCAAUUCUUGAGAAUGCAGUUUGAGCUUUCCUGUGCAGAAUCACGCAAGCGUACAGCGAAUGUACGUGCGUAUAUAAAUUGGACGGCACGGACGAACUCAAUCUACACACAUAGAAAAGUUA